UUUCUCAUCUCCCCAAUCAAAUAGAAAACAAUUUUAAACCAACCGCAUAUAUUUAAAAGCUUUAUGUAGAUUACUGCAGAUGAUUAGGGUGAUAAUACCUUCCCUUUACAUAACACACCCCCGUACCUUAGAAUCCCCCCCCCCUUUUAUUUAGCUUAAGUUUAAUCUUCUAGCUUUGCAUAUACAUAUUGGGUUAUUUUUGAA
rnacentral:lncRNA from 1 species